CCUACGGGAGGCAGCAGUCGAGAAUCAUUCACAAUGGCGGAAACCCUGAUGGUGCGACGCCGCGUGGGGGAAUGAAGGUCUUCGGAUUGUAAACCUCUGUCAUGUGGGAGCAAAUUAAAAAGAUAGUACUACAAGAGGAAGAGACGGCUAACUCUGUGCCAGCAGCCGCGGUAAUACAGAGGUCUUAAGCGUUGUUCGGAAUCACUGGGCGUAAAGCGUGCGGUGGCUGUUUCGUAAGGCGUGUGUGAAAGGUGCGGGCUCAACCCGCGGAGGGCAGAUGAUACUGGGAGACUAGAGUAAUGGAGGGGGAGCCGGAAUGCUCGGUGUAGCAGUGAAAUGCGUAGAUAUCGAGAAGAACACUCGUGGCGAAGGCAGGUUCCUGGACAUUAACUGACGCUGAGGCACGAAGGCCAGGGGAGCGAAAGGGAUUAGAUACCCGAGUAGUC
rnacentral:rRNA from 1 species